UUUUAAAACCGGUUGAUGAAACGUUACAAACAGACUAAUGUUGGUGAGUUUGUUUGUCAGAGUCAGACAGUCGUGUCUCUGCAGCGAGAGGUUUUUGUACGACGGCUCAGUGACUUUGUUUCACUGUGGCUCACGUUCGGUGGAGGAACCAGACUGGAUGUUGGAAGUGAUGUGCGUCCCACCCUGACGGUGCUGCCCCCCUCCAGCGAGGAGCUGCAGCAGGGGAAGGCCACGCUCCUGUGCCUGGCCAACAAGGGCUUCCCCUCAGACUGGAGUCUGUCCUGGAAGGUGGACGGCAGCAGCAGCAGCAGCAGCUGGGAGGUGAGCAGGAGCCCCGGGCUGCUGGAGAAGGACGGCCACUACAGCUGGAGCAGCACCCUGAGGCUCCCUGCAGACCAGUGGGGGAAGGUGGGCUCUGUGAGCUGUGAGGCCACCCAGGGCUCCCAGACUCCGCUCUCAGAGACACUGAGGAGAGACCAGUGUUCCCAGUCCUGACCUGACUCACUGGGCCUCUGCUGCUGGUUUCACUCUGCUACUGGUCUCAGUCUGUUCACUGCAUUUCUGUGUCUCGUCACAAUAAAAGAUCUGCAUCCUGAUAUUUGUUCUUGCUUAUGAUGACGCUGAGUGUUUUACCCUUUUCGCACAAUAAAGAUUUUUUUCUCUGAAUUUAAAA